UACGGGAGGCAGCAGUGGGGAAUAUUGCACAAUGGGCGGAAGCCUGAUGCAGCGACGCCGCGUGGGGGAUGAAGGCCUUCGGGUUGUAAACUCCUUUCGACAGGGACGAAGCGUAAGUGACGGUACCUGUAUAAGAAGCACCGGCUAACUACGUGCCAGCAGCCGCGGUAAU
rnacentral:rRNA from 1 species